UACGUAGGUGGCAAGCGAUACUCGGAAUCACUAGGCGUAAAGCGCAGGUAGGCGGUUUGAUAAGUCUUUUGUGAAAGCUUCCGGCUUAACUGGGAGAGGUCAAGGGAAACUGUCAGGCUAGAGUUUGGUAGGGGAUACUGGAAUUCCUGGUGUAGCGGUGAAAUGCGUAGAUAUCAGGAGGAAUACCUAUGGCGAAAGCAGGUAUCUGGGCCACAACUGACGCUGAGCUGCGAAAGCUAGGGGAGCAAACAGG
rnacentral:rRNA from 1 species